rnacentral:snRNA from 1 species
GUGCUUGCUCUGGCAGCACAAAGACUGAAAUUGGAACCCUACAGUGAAGAUUAGCAUAGUGCCUAAGCAAGGAUGGCAUGCAAAUGAGUGAAGCAAUCCAAAAAUUU